CUUGGUCAUUUAGAGGAAGUAAAAGUCGUAACAAGGUUUCCGUAGGUAAACCUGCGGAAGGAUCAUUAGUGAACGCCCUCACGGGCUUAUAACUAUUCCAAACCUCUGUGAACCGUGCCCUUCGGGGCUAUUUUACAAACAUGGUGUAAUGAACGUCAUAUAUCAUAACAAAACAAAACUUUCAACAACGGAUCUCUUGGCUCUCGCAUCGAUGAAGAACGCAGCGAAAUGCGAUAAGUAAUGUGAAUUGCAGAAUUCAGUGAAUCAUCGAAUCUUUGAACGCACCUUGCGCCCUCUGGUAUUCCGGAGGGCAUGCCUGUUUGAGUGUCAUGUAGACUCAAUCCCUCGGGUUUCCGAGGAGAUUGGACUUGGGUGUUGCCGCUCUGCCGGCUCGCCUUAAAAGACUUAGCGGGAUAGCACCGUAGUCGGCGUAAUAAGUUUCGUCGGUGAAGGUUGUGAUGACUGCUUACAAUCGCCCUCGGGCAAUUUUUGACUCUGACCUCAAAUCAGGUAGGACUACCCGCUGAACUUAAGCAUAUCAAUAAGCGGAGGA
rnacentral:rRNA from 1 species